AUACGUAGGAGGCGAGCGUUGUCCGGAAUGAUUGGGCGUAAAGGGCGCGUAGGCGGCCUGUUAAGUCUGGAGUGAAAGUCCUGUUUUCAAGAUGGGAAUUGCUUUGGAUACUGAUGGGCUUGAGUGCAGGAGAGGUUAUCGGAAUUCCCGGUGUAGCGGUGAAAUGCGUAGAGAUCGGGAGGAACACCAGUGGCGAAGGCGGGUAACUGGACUGCAACUGACGCUGAGGCGCGAAAGUGUGGGGAGCAAACAGGAUUAGAUACCCUGGUAGUCCACGCUGUAAACGAUGAAUGCUAGGUGUAAGAGGUAUCGACCCCUUUUGUGCCGGAGUUAACACAAUAAGCAUUCCGCCUGGGGAGUACGGCCGCAAGGUUGAAACUCAAAGGAAUUGACGGGG
rnacentral:rRNA from 1 species